AUUGAACGCUGGCGGCAGGCCUAACACAUGCAAGUCGAACGAGUGGCGGACGGGUGAGUAAUGUCUGGGAAACUGCCUGACGGAGGGGGAUAAAUACUGGAAACGGUAGCAAAUACUGCAUACCACCGGAUGGGCCCCAAGGGGAUUAGCUAGUAGGUGGGGUAAAGGCUCACAGAGGCGACGAGCCCUAGCUGGUCUGAGAGGAUGACCAGCCACACUGUAAUUGAGACACGGUCCAGACUCCUACGGGAGGCAGCAGUGGGGAAUAUUGCACAAUGGGGGCAAGCCUGAUGCAGCCAUGCCGCGUGGAUGAAGAAGGCCUUCGGGUUGUAAAGUACUUUCAGCGGGGAGGCGUUACCCGCAGAAGAAGCACCGGCUAACUCCGUGCCAGCAGCCGCGGUAAUUC
rnacentral:rRNA from 1 species